UUACAAUGGUAAGGACAAAGGGCAGCUACCUGGCGACAGGAUGCGAAUCUCUAAACCUUAUCACAGUUCGGAUCGGAGUCUGCAACUCGACUCCGUGAAGCUGGAUUCGCUAGUAAUCGCGCAUCAGCCAUGGCGCGGUGAAUACGUUCCCGGGCCUUGUACACACCGCCCGUCAAGCCAUGGGAGUCUGGAGUACCUAAAGUCCGUAACCGCAAGGGUCGGCCUAGGGUAAUACAGGUGACUGGGGCUAAGUCGUAACAAGGUAGCCGUACCGGAAGGUGCGGCUGGAACACCUCCUUUCUGGA
rnacentral:rRNA from 1 species